UAAAUAAAAUUUUCCUAUACGGUAUCCACCCACGAUGUAAAUUACUGACGGCAAGAAGGCCUCGAGAUCAAAAGAAAAUCAAAGGCGGUGACACCGCCUGACCAUUUUUCUGAGCGCUACAAGGUACUACAGGCUUACAAGCAGCAUUUAUGGAAAGUAUGGAGGCCAGACUACAUCAUAUAGACCAGGUAACUGUUGCUGCAACAUAGACCUACUGAAUCCUUGUUUGCUUGAUCACUGGAUCUCGUUGUACUAUAAAACAUGGUGGCCUAUAGUUUUGACUUUAAACACCUUUUCUCCAAUCUGGGGCAGAGUUAGGUAUGAAUAUGAAACCAAUGAAGCUAAAUUGUCUGUUGUUUCUUGUACUGACUCUUUUCAGAAGAAAUAUAGAUUUUUACGAAGUUUUUUUAUAAUUAUUGAUUUUGCCACCAUUUUGGUUGCUAAGCGUAUCUAGGAAAAACGUCA